rnacentral:rRNA from 1 species
GAUGAACGCUGGCGGCGUGCCUAAUACAUGCAAGUCGAGCGAACGGACGAGAAGCUUGCUUCUCUGAUGUUAGCGGCGGACGGGUGAGUAACACGUGGAUAACCUACCUAUAAGACUGGGAUAACUUCGGGAAACCUGAGCUAAUACCGGAUAAUAUUUUGAACCGCAUGGUUCAAAAGUAAAAGACGGUCUUGCUGUCACUUAUAGAUGGAUCCGCGCUGCAUUAGCUAGUUGGUAAGGUAACGGCUUACCAAGGCAACGAUGCAUAGCCGACCUGAGAGGGUGAUCGGCCACACUGGAACUGAGACACGGUCCAGACUCCUACGGGAGGCAGCAGUAGGGAAUCUUCCGCAAUGGGCGAAAGCCUGACGGAGCAACGCCGCGUGAGUGAUGAAGGUCUUCGGAUCGUAAAACUCUGUUAUUAGGGAAGAACAUAUGUGUAAGUAACUGUGCACAUCUUGACGGUACCUAAUCAGAAAGCCACGGCUAACUACGUG